CUUGCAGUUGCUUGACCGUGUCAUCUUCGUUUUUGCAAAGAGAUAAUCCUACUCUCAUUUCUAUUAUUUUGGUUUCCGAUUCAGUAUCUCAACCUAAAGUAGUUCAACAAAUAAAGAGACCGUUUUCAGAAAGAAUGAUCCAUGGAAAAAGCAAUAUCCUCCUCCUGGCCCCAAUUUUCUUCAAGGUUGAAAUAUAUAUAUAUAUAUAUGUGUGUGUGUGAUGGCAGCAUCAAGAGUAGAACGAUUCUUGUAUUUUCCCUCACCAUCUUCUUGCUGAAUAUAUAUAUAUAUAUGUGUGUGUGUGUGUGUGUGUGUGUGUGAUGGCAGCAUCAAGAGUAGAACGAUUCUUGUAUUUUACCUCACCGUCUUCUUGCUGAUUUUUCUUGACCGUAGAAAAAGAGGCUAUCCAUCAAGAAGAGAAACAAGCGCUUGCAGUUCCUAAGGGGCGGAUGUAACAUUAUAGGGAUGGGUUCAAUUAAAAUUGACUGUCUUGUAGAACAAAAGUAGACCUCCACACUAAGGUUUCCACAAAUUUAGGCAUUUGUAUCCCUGUAUUGGUACCAUGAAGUACGAAGAUCUGCUUGACGGAACGGAUCAUCUCUUUGCACUCAUAUAGUUACUCCCAAAAUGGUCAUCCAUGAUGUAUGCCAAGAAGAAUCUGCUCUAUAUCAGUGCAAGAAUCUCACAUCCACUACACAUUUAUUCUUUGGAUAAUACACUUGACAGAUAGGAUCAUCUCUGUUAGACUGUUCCCCACAGGUUUUACGAUUGACCUAUUGCCUCCUACUAUGGCCUUGAAAACCCUUGCCUCAUAAAUUAACUUGAGUUGAAUUAGGUCCAAAGUCUAUUUUCUUAACAAGGUACCAAAGUCAGACCCAUCACUAUUCUC
rnacentral:lncRNA from 1 species